UGGCUCUGGAGAAUCCCGUUUACGGGGGCCGAAGGUGUAAGACGCGGAGACGCGCUAAUCUCUCAGGCAAAAGGACAGAGUGAAA
rnacentral:ncRNA from 1 species